AUACAGAGGGUGCGAGCGUUAAUCGGAAUUACUGGGCGUAAAGCGCGCGUAGGCGGCUUAUUAAGUCAGAUGUGAAAUCCCCGGGCUCAACCUGGGAACUGCAUCUGAUACUGGUAAGCUAGAGUUUUGGAGAGGGAAGUAGAAUUCCAGGUGUAGCGGUGAAAUGCAUAGAGAUCUGAAGGAAUACCAGUGGCGAAGGCGACUUCCUGGCCAAAAACUGACGCUGAGGUGCGAAAGCGUGGGUAGCAAACGGGAUUAGAUACCCUAGUAGUCC
rnacentral:rRNA from 1 species